rnacentral:misc_RNA from 1 species
GUGGAUUUAUGCUAAAUUCUGUAUAAGGAAAAAAUGUGGUGGAUGGUGUUGGUGUUUCGUAUGACAUUUCUGUUGAUUGUCUCUUUGAGUUCAAUUGGAGGAAUGGGAAAUUGAUACACUUGGUACGUAGUGUUGUGUAGAAGCGUAUUUUAAUUAGGGUUGUGCGUAGUUCCUAGGGUUCCCGAACCGAACAAAUGUACUGAACUGGAACUGAAAAAGAACCGUUAUUA